rnacentral:piRNA from 1 species
UGGUCCUCUAGAGACAUGAAGAUGUGACAGU